rnacentral:rRNA from 1 species
CGCUGGCGGCGUGCCUAACACAUGCAAGUCGAACGAAGCUCCUGCGUUGAUUCUUCGGAUGAAACAAGGGAAGACUUAGUGGCGGACGGGUGAGUAACGCGUGAGCAACCUGCCUUUCAGAGGGGGAUAACAGUUGGAAACGACUGCUAAUACCGCAUAACGUAUUGAUGUCGCAUGGCAUUGAUACCAAAGCUGAGGCGCUGAGAGAUGGGCUCGCGUCCGAUUAGAUAGUUGGUGGGGUAACGGCCUACCAAGUCGACGAUCGGUAGCCGGACUGAGAGGUUGAACGGCCACAUUGGGACUGAGACACGGCCCAGACUCCUACGGGAGGCAGCAGUGGGGGAUAUUGCACAAUGGGCGAAAGCCUGAAUGCAGCAACGCCGCGUGAGGGAAGACGGUUUUCGGAUUGUAAACCUCUGUCUUUGGUGAAGAAGGAAGUGACGGUAGCCAAGGAGGAAGCCACGGCUAACUACGUGCCAGCCGCCGC